AAAUAACACUUCUAAUAUGUUUUUUUUUCUUUUUAGAGCUAUUUCAAUUGCAACCAGUAAUAAAAUUUAUGUAGUAAGGAGUACACAAACAGAAGUAUUAGAAGGAAUUCGGUCCAUUCGUAUAAAAGAUGGUGUCACAUGGCUCGUUAUAAUCGGACUGAGCAGUACGGCGCUGGCGUUCACUGUGCUGAUCGUUAAAUUUUUACUACAAGUGCAGAAGCAUCACACUGUGAUAAGACGAUGAGUAUCAAGAAGAAAGUCCAAGGAUCGGCGGCUUUUAACGCUUUAAGGGUAAAUGCUCCCAUACACGGCGAAAACACAUGCCUUGGGCGAAAUUUUCGUUGCAUUGUUUUCUUUGGUAUUUCAAUAGCAGUUCUUAGCUUAUUGGUGACUAUAACCAUUCUAUUAAUUCGGGAAUAUGGUUGAUUUUGCAUAUAUAACUUGAAUUUUUUGUGUUCGUUUUAAAAUUAAUGUCUUUGUUUUGUUUGAAAUAUAUAUUUUAUUAUUUUUA